GUAAAUAUAGUUUAGCCCAAAACGCUAGCCUGUGAAGCUAGAAAUAGAGGUGCAACCCCUCUUACUUACC
rnacentral:tRNA from 1 species